UACAAAAGCUAUCAUGGAUAUUGCUGCCAAG
rnacentral:piRNA from 1 species